rnacentral:rRNA from 1 species
UACGGAGGGUGCAAGCGUUGUUCGGAUUUACUGGGCGUAAAGGGCGUGUAGGCGGAUGCGUAAGUUGGGGGUGAAAUCCCCGGGCUCAACCCGGGACGGUCUCCCAAAACUGUGUAUCUAGAGAGAGUCAGAGGCAGGCGGAAUUCCAGGUGUAGAGGUGAAAUUCGUAGAUAUCUGGAGGAACACCCGAGGCGAAGGCGGCCUGCUGGGACUUAUCUGACGCUGAGGCGCGAAAGCGUGGGUAGCAAACAGGAUUAGAUACCCUGGUAGUCCACGCUGUAAACGAUGAGCACUAGGUGUGCGGGGUAUGACCCCCCUCGCGCCGCAGCUAACGCAUUAAGUGCUCCGCCUGGGGAUUACGGUCGCAAGACUAAAACUCAAAG